rnacentral:rRNA from 1 species
GUCUUUUUGAUUAUAAUUUAAAGUCUGACCUGCCCAAUGAGUGUUUAAAUGGCCGCGGUAAUUUGACCGUGCAAAGGUAGCAUAAUCAUUAGUUUUUUAAUUGAAAGCUGGAAUGAAUGGUUGGACGAGAAAAUAACUGUCUCAAUUUAAUUGUAUAUAGAAUUUUAUUUAUAAGUAAAAAAGCUUAUAUGAUUUUAAAAGACGAGAAGACCCUAUAGAAUUUUAUAUUUUAUUAUAUUGAUUAGGUUUAGAAUAUUUAUAUUUUUAAUUUAAUAAAAUAUUUUACUGGGGCAGUAGAAAAAUUGAAUAAACUUUUUUUAGUAUUUUUACAUUGAUUUAUGGUUUUAUGAUCCAUUUUUUAUGAUUACAAGAUUAAAUUACCUUAGGGAUAACAGCGUAAUUUUUUUUUAGAGUUCUUAUCGAAAAAAGAGUUUGCGACCUCGAUGUUGGAUUAAAAUUAACUUUUGGUGUAGGGGCUAAAAGGUUAGGUCUGUUCGACCUUUAAAAUUUUACA